rnacentral:rRNA from 1 species
CCUACGGGUGGCAGCAGUGGGGAAUAUUGCACAAUGGGGGAAACCCUGAUGUAGCGACGCCGCGUGAGUGAAGAAGUAAUUCGUUAUGUAAAGCUCUAUCAGCAGGGAAGAAAAUGACGGUACCUGAGUAAGAAGCCCCGGCUAACUACGUGCCAGCAGCCGCGGUAAUACGUAGGGGACUAGCGGUAUCCGGAAUUACUGGGCGUAAAGGGUGCGUAGGUGGUUUCUUAAGUCAGAGGUGAAAGGCUACGGCUCAACCGUAGGAAGCCUUUGAAACUGGGGAACUUGAGUGCAGGAGAGGAGAGUGGAAUUCCUAGUGUAGCGGUGAAAUGCGUAGAUAUUAGGAGGAACACCAGUUGCGAAGGCGGCUCUCUGGACUGUAACUGACACUGAGGCACGAAAGCGUGGGGAGCAAACAGGAUUAGAUACCCGAGUAGUC